ACAUAUAAUAGUUUUAUUCCCAGUCUUCACAUACACUUUUAAAAGUAAUUGGCAUGUGUCAUUUUAUAUGAAAACUUAGAUUCAUUAUAUUCAAGGGAAACACCGAGUUUGUGGGGUGGUGCAUUGUGACUCUAUUCCCACAAGACUCCAAUUAUUCAUCAUUCAAAGCAUAACAGAAUUCCUUAGUAAAUAGGCUGGAAUAAAUCCCCAAACUGCCUUGAGUUUCUUAUGAAAACAUUUUGAAACCUUUAAUGCUGGAUAUAUCAAUAUAUCACAAAACAAAACUCAAUGGGCUUAACCAUUUUAUCCCAGCAGCUCUAACCUUCAUUUUUCUACAUUUUCUUGCAGAGACACAUAUUUCGAAUGUUUUUCUACUUCUGGUUUAUGCUUUUUCAUGUCAGAAAACAUUACCUUUUAUCGUUCACUCAGCUGUGUAAACCAGGUUGAUAUCACCUCUUGCCUAGAACAGUGUACACCAAGCUUUUAUUGAUCAUGCAUAUAUAUCAGUAAGAAACAUUCAGCAACAAUUUCCAAAAUGUGUAUAUUUAUUUUGUUUCUAAAUUAUGCAAGAAACUCUGGGCAACCAUAUACUUGACAAUCAGAAAACAGUGCAACAGAAAGUACAAAACAAGAAGUUACAAAUAAAUAGAAAGUUCAAAUACUGUCUUUCUACACAGGUGGUAUUGGUCUUGUUUAUCCCUAGGUGGCAUAUGCUUUACUUGGAGAACGUCUAUCCCAAGUUCCAUUAACAGUCCCCCUGCCUGGUUAAAAGCUUUGAGUCUUAACUUCCAUAAUGCAAUAUUUUUAACAUGCAGUGCUUUCACAUCCUUCCCCAAUUAAAGCACUUAUAUGUCUUCCUGUUUUUUCUAAGAAUGAGAUACAAACUCUUUAAGAUGCUUCACAAAGCCCCUUUAUGACCUGGCUAUUUUCUUAUUAUCCAGUUUUAUUUCUUGUUAUUCCUGUCCCACUCUUCUCCUGCCUCCCACAAAUAUGCACCUUGUCUAUGCUGAAGUGUUUUCAGAAUCAAAUCCAGGUGACCAUGCUUUUUCUCCUCACUAAGACUUUGUCUAUCCAUUUAAUUCUGCUUAGAAUAUUUUCUCCUUUCUCCUACCCACUGUAUCUGAUUAAGUCCUACUUAUCCUUCAUAUGUCAUUUUAGAUAUAAUUUCAUCUGGAAAAUGCCUCUCCUAUAAUCUACCCUGGUGCAUAAAAUUCAUCCUUAUGCUAUUCCAUGCCAGUGAAUUUUAAUUGUCAGUUUGUCUUUUACAUUGGCUUAGUGAUUAUUACACAGUGGGGUAAUCUAAAUCACUUAGAAACUUUCUUUAAGUCCAAUUUUUUCAACCUCAUCCAUAGAUAUUUUCAUUCUAUGCAUCCAGGAUAGAGCCCAGGAAUGUGCGCUUUUAAAGCACCAGGGUGAUUCUUAUGCACAUGUUUGCACUAGAAUGGAUGCUUAUUCACUGCUAUAUUUUCAGCAUCUUUUAGGAAUCUUGGCACAUAAUAGGUGCUUAAUAAAUAUUUUUUGAAUAAAUAAGUGAGAGGGAUAUGAUUGAAAAGAUAACUGAUUUUUAAGGCAGAGGUAACAGAAUAAGCAAGAAAAUGAAUGCAUAAAAUCUCAAAAUUUGCUGGGAUACCUUUAAAUAUAAUUUUUGUCUUUCUCACUUUCUAAAAUGCAAGUCUUCAGUGACAGAGAGGUAGCAUACUUAAAAUGAAUGGGCCAGCUUGAUGUUGUCCUCCUAUCUGUGCAGCAACUAGUGGAGAAGCUUCUGACAGGUAAAAAUUGUCUUUCAUAUGGGUUUUGGUAAAUGAAAAAGGAAUUGGUUGGGUUAGAGAUUGUGGUUGGGUAGCAGAGAGGAAGAGGAAAAGCUGAAGCCAAAGUACACAGGUUUGUAGAUUGUAUUAAAUAGUUCGGACUUCAUUCUAAAGAUGCCAUCCUGGUCCCUAAGGAAUACUGACUUAACUCAGAAUGCUGACUAGACCAAAACAUGGAAUAUUAACAUAUAUCAUACCUUUAAAAGCUGAGGAUCCCUUUCUGCCACCUGACUCUACCAUGCGGAGAGCCAUAUGCUUUAUGAUCAGUUGCUCCUCCCUGCCCACUCUCACUUAGAGUUUGCAGAGGCUCUGUUCACUGGCAAAUAUUACCACCACUGCAGACCAGAAGCAAAGACAAACCUGACUCCUCAGCCAAGUUGCUGCCUAAAUCUUCCAAAUCUCCACUGAAUUCUGUUAGGUCCACGUGGCCACUAUGUUCUAGGAUUUUAUGCUGAUUAUUCUCUUGGUGGCAUUUUCCUGAAGUCAAACUCACUCUUCUCUCAUCCUUCCUAAGGUGCAUAUUGGUUGGUUUGUUCUUUGCUACUUUGUUUUAGUUUUAGUUUUUCAUUACCCUUUUGUUCUUGGAAUUUGAGAACAAAAAUAGUGCUCUCCUCAUCCCUAAAUUUGUAUUAAAAUAAAAAAGUCCCAAUAUUAGGUCUAUAAGAGCAAGUUUGGAGAAUAUGGGUCUUAACUGGAGAUCCUAAUAUUAGGUUUAUAAGAGCAAGUUUGGAGAAUAUGGAGCUUAGAUAUUCAGGCAAGAGAGCUUGCUAACAUUUCACCUCAGAAUUAACCAUACACCUUCGAAUCACACAUUGAGCUUGACAACCGCAUGUUUCUGACCAAGGACCUGUUCCCUGAAACUUACUACACAGAGGAACAAAGGAGACCAUGGCACAUCUUCUGUGCACAGAGGAAAAUCCCUCAAACAAGAGGUCUGGAGGGUCUGCCCAAGCCACGCAUGCCCGGCUCAUUUCCAACCUCAGCACUCAGUGAAGUCAGUCCACUACCUAGGAAGGAGUAAAUAAGAUGGGUAGAGAGACCAGAAUUGUUAUUUUGAAAAAUGACUCUCUCUAUGGGAACGUGAGUCAGGAAUAAGUCAUCUGCCCACAGACCAUAACCAUUUCAGUAAGCAUUACUUCACUUCUUCACUUUUAGUGUAAACUCUCUUUCCCCAAUUCCUUUCUCAACUAUAAUGUAUUUAUUUUCUCAAACCCAUCUGCAGAUAUAUCAUGAGUUGGAAUCCACGCUCUCAAUCAAUGUCCCUAAUGCCAUUUCUAAUUUUUUUACUCCCUCAGCUUCUGGUGAAAAUCUCUACCUUUCAGAGGCUUUUAUCCCUUGUGUCUAUCACCAUCUAACUAGUACUUCUCAUUGUUAUGUCUUUUUUUUUUUUGCGGCACUUUUUAUUUAUUUAUUUUUGUUUCUUUUUUAUAUUUUAUUAUUAUUAUACUUUAAG
rnacentral:lncRNA from 1 species